rnacentral:rRNA from 1 species
UUGGAGGGCAAGUCUGGUGCCAGCAGCCGCGGUAAUUCCAGCUCCAAUAGCGUAUAUUAAAGUUGUUGCAGUUAAAAAGCUCGUAGUUGAAUUUCGGGACCAAUAUGUCGGUCGUGCCUCGGUACGUACUGGCAUCGUUGGUUUCUCCCUUCUGACGAACCAUGAUGUCAUUUAUUUGGUGUCGUGGGGAAUCAGGACUGUUACUUUGAAAAAAUUAGAGUGUUUAAAGCAGGCUCACGCUUGAAUACAUUAGCAUGGAAUAAUGAAAUAGGACGUUUGAUUCUAUUUUGUUGGUUUCUAGGAUCGACGUAAUGAUUAAUAGGGAUAGUUGGGGGCAUUAGUAUUCAAUUGUCAGAGGUGAAAUUCUUGGAUUUAUUGAAGACUAACUACUGCGAAAGCAUUUGCCAAGGAUGUUUUCAUUAAUCAAGAACGAAAGUUAGGGGAUCGAAGACGAUCAGAUACCGUCGUAGUCUUAACCAUAAACUAUGCCGACUAGGGAUCGGAUGAUGUUAAUUUUUUAAUGACUCAUUCGGCGCCUUACGGGAAAC